UACAGAGGGUGGCGAGCGUUGUCCGGAAUCGACUGGGCGUAAAGGGCGCGUAGGCGGCUCGGUCAGCGUGGCGGUGAAAGCCCGGGCUCAACCCCGGGUCGGCCGACUGCGAACUGCUGGGCUCGAGCACUGUAGAGGCAGGUGGAAUUCCGGGGUGGUAGCGGUGGAAUGCGUAGAGAUCCGGAAGAACACCGGUGGCGAAGGCGGCCUGCUGGGCAGUAGCUGACGCUGAUGCGGCGACGAGCGAUGGGGAGCAAACAGG
rnacentral:rRNA from 1 species